rnacentral:rRNA from 1 species
AACGAACGCUGGCGGCAGGCCUAAUACAUGCAAGUCGAACGCACCGCAAGGUGAGUGGCAGACGGGUGAGUAACGCGUGGGAACCUUCCUAGUAGUACGGAAUAACUCCGGGAAACCGGUGCUAAUACCGUAUAAGCCCUCCGGGGGAAAGAUUUAUCGCUACUAGAUGGGCCCGCGUCGGAUUAGCUUGUUGGUGAGGUAAUGGCUCACCAAGGCUUCGAUCCGUAGCUGGUCUGAGAGGAUGAUCAGCCACACUGGGACUGAGACACGGCCCAGACUCCUACGGGAGGCAGCAGUAGGGAAUAUUGGACAAUGGGCGAAAGCCUGAUCCAGCCAUGCCGCGUGAGUGAAGAAGGCCUUAGGGUUGUAAAGCUCUUUUGGCGGGGAAGAUAAUGACGGUACCCGCAGAAUAAGCUCCGG